rnacentral:rRNA from 1 species
AGUGAACGCUGGCGGUAGGCCUAACACAUGCAAGUCGAACGGCAGCACAGUAAGAGCUUGCUCUUACGGGUGGCGAGUGGCGGACGGGUGAGGAAUACAUCGGAAUCUACUUUUUCGUGGGGGAUAACGUAGGGAAACUUACGCUAAUACCGCAUACGACCUACGGGUGAAAGCAGGGGAUCUUCGGACCUUGCGCGAUUGAAUGAGCCGAUGUCGGAUUAGCUAGUUGGCGGGGUAAAGGCCCACCAAGGCGACGAUCCGUAGCUGGUCUGAGAGGAUGAUCCGCCACACUGGAACUGAGACACGGUCCAGACUCCUACGGGAGGCAGCAGUGGGGAAUAUUGGACAAUGGGCGCAAGCCUGAUCCAGCCAUACCGCGUGGGUGAAGAAGGCCUGCGGGUUGUAAAGCCCUUUUGUUGGGAAAGAAAAGCAGCAGGUUAAUACCCCGCUGUUCUGACGGUACCCAAAGAAUAAGCACCGGCUAACUUCGU